UGGAUCCAGACUUUGAUCAUGGCUCAGGACGAACGCUGGCGGCGUGCUUAACACAUGCAAGUCGAACGAGAAGAGAUGAGAAGCUUGCUUCUUAUCGAUUCGAGUGGCAAACGGGUGAGUAACGCGUAAGCAACCUGCCCUCUAGAUGGGGACAACAGCUGGAAACGGCUGCUAAUACCGAAUACGUUCUUUCUGUCGCAUGGCAGAGGGAAGAAAGGGAGGCUCUUCGGAGCUUUCGCUGGAGGAGGGGCUUGCGUCUGAUUAGCUAGUUGGAGGGGUAACGGCCCACCAAGGCGACGAUCAGUAGCCGGUCUGAGAGGAUGAACGGCCACAUUGGGACUGAGACCGGCCCAGACUCCUACGGGAGGCAGCAGUGGGGAAUCUUCCGCAAUGGACGAAAGUCUGACGGAGCAACGCCGCGUGAACGAUGACGGCCUUCGGGUUGUAAAGUUCUGUUAUACGGGACGAAUGGUACGACGGUCAAUACCCGUCGUAAGUGACGGUACCGUAAGAGAAAGCCACGGCUAACUACGUGCCAGCAGCCGCGGUAAUACGUAGGUGGCAAGCGUUGUCCGGAAUUAUUGGGCGUAAAGGGCGCGCAGGCGGCGUCGUAAGUCGGUCUUAAAAGUGCGGGGCUUAACCCCGUGAGGGGACCGAAACUGCGAUGCUAGAGUAUCGGAGAGGAAAGCGGAAUUCCUAGUGUAGCGGUGAAAUGCGUAGAUAUUAGGAGGAACACCAGUGGCGAAAGCGGCUUUCUGGACGACAACUGACGCUGAGGCGCGAAAGCCAGGGGAGCAAACGGGAUUAGAUACCCCGGUAGUCCUGGCCGUAAACGAUGGAUACUAGGUGUAGGAGGUAUCGACCCCUUCUGUGCCGGAGUUAACGCAAUAAGUACCCCGCCUGGGGAGUACGGCCGCAAGGCUGCAACUCAAAGGAAUUGACGGA
rnacentral:rRNA from 1 species